UACGGAGGGUGCAAGCGUUAUCCGGAUUCACUGGGUUUAAAGGGUGCGUAGGUGGGUUGGUAAGGCAGUGGUGAAAUCUCCGGGCUUAACCUGGAAACUGCCAUUGAUACUAUCAAUCUUGAAUACCUUGGAGGUGAGCGGAAUAUGUCAUGUAGCGGUGAAAUGCUUAGAUAUGACAUAGAACACCAAUUGCGAAGGCAG
rnacentral:rRNA from 1 species